rnacentral:rRNA from 1 species
CUGGCGGCACGCCUAAUACAUGCAAGUCGAACGGGGUAGCAAUACCUAGUGGCAGACGGGUGAGUAACAUGUGGGUACCUUCCCUUUGGUGAGGAAUAACACGAGGAAACUUGUGCUAAUACCUCAUAAGUCUUUACGGAGAAAGCUUUAUGCGCCAAUGGAUGGGCCCGCACUUGAUUAGUUUGUUGGUGGGGUAAUGGCCUACCAAGACUUUGAUCAAUAGCUGAUUUGAGAGGAUGAUCAGCCACAUUGGGACUGAGACACGGCCCAAACUCCUACGGGAGGCAGCAGUAGGGAAUCUUGCACAAUGGAGGAAACUCUGAUGCAGCGAUGCCGCGUGAGUGAAGAAGGCCUUUGGGUUGUAAAGCUCUUUCGUCGGGGAAGAA